UGCUAGUGCUGCAUCAACCUUAGUCCUAAUCUCCAGACUGGUGAGAAGGGAUGUGAUGCUGAAGGCAUGUUUUUGCCAUUCCCAAGUACCUUGUCUUUUUACAUGUAGGACUGAAUGGCAAUCCCACUGUUAUAUAAAGAACGUAAAUUGGUGUUAACUGAAGGUACACCAGUGAAAGUAAGCCUGCACCUGGUGACCUGAGUUUUUCUGGAUGUGGCAGGUUUUGCUUCCUGCAAGUAAUCUGGCUGAUUUACUUAGCUUUUUGGAACAGAGCAGGAACCACUGAUAACUACCCAAGCUUCUACCUGAAUUACAGUUCUGCCCCUUCGUAAGCCCUGCAUUCUUCCCUGAUCAUGCUAAAGGCCACAAAGCAGUGAAACCCAGAGCUAACUUUUAAGUACUGGUAAAUAUUUGCACAGACUGCCAGAAGGGUUGUCAGUGAAAAGAGGACCAGAACAUAAUGGUGACGAAGAGAUGACCGAGGAUAUGUACACUUUAUUCUGAUGAUUCUUUUUCUCUCUUAUGAAUCAGUUGUAAGAAACUUUCUGGAGGAAUACCUUCCUUGACACUAAUCUGGAGAGUGAUGCUUAUAAUACAAAAGGAGUGAUGAAGUAUGGAAAAAUAAGAGUGAUACAUUCCUACUGAAAUGACACUAGCAAUUGUUUUAUAACCCGAAGCAUACUAAAGGCAUCCUUCCUGUGGAGACUCUUGUGGUCAGAGCCAAGGAAAUGAAGAACCUCUACAUUUGCUUACUCUUGUAGAGUUAACAGGCACAUGCUAAGAAGCGUGCUGAGAAGCCAUAAGUCAUUAGACUGCAGUAUACUUAAAUGUUAAUCCAGCCAUGACAGUGCACAUGCAGAGCUUUGCUGAGGCCAGGAGUUUCCCUCUUCUCUACCUACAAGUGCAGAAUUGUUUGGUCUGUGAAGGUUUAUUAGAAGAAAACAGGAACCCGCCCCCUGCCUAUAACAGGCUUUGGAAUGUUCACUACUGUAUGUGUGAAACUGGUCUGAUUAGACAAGUAAUCUUCCAUUAGUCUUUGUGCCCCUUGACAAGCUCUUGGGAUAGGAGCUGAAAAAACCGACACAAGAUCUGUGUGGCCCUUAUUAUGAUGUGUGAGAUAUUAAACCAUGUAGCACAUUCAGCAGGGCACAUGUGCAGAAUGGACAGCCAGUCCCCUCAGUCACCACUUCCACAGCCACAAGGGCUGAAGCAGGAAAUGGUAGAUUAAAAAGCAAAUCUAUCCCAUGAUAAUUCAGUUACAGCACAAAUAAAACAGCUGAUCCCAGUGUUACCACCCUAACUCAAAGCUCCAAAAGCAAACCUAAAGCUGUUCAGAACUAUCUUCCUUGAGUGACCACGGGAUGGGAAUUCUAUCAUUGUGGUUCAACCCUUGCUGUGAAUUGAUAGGCAACAGGGCUCUCUUGGUUGUUCUUAAACAAUAACAGCAAAACACAGGGAAGUUAUAUUGGAAGGGCACAAUAUCGUAUUCAUUCACUCAGUCAUUCACACCCAAUAAUAUUAAGGAUCUAUGCUAUGGAUAACAUUCUGUAAAAUGGAAUAUAGGUAACUUGAUGUUUUAAAACCAGAGCAUUGAGAAAGCUACAUAAGGAACUUGGAAUCAUAGAAGAAGAAUAAAAACACCCUGGGUUUCUUGGAAGCGAUUAGGAAGAGGCCUUCUAAAGUUGUAUUUUAUAACAUUAAGGCAUAGAAAUUAAUCUUCAAAAGAUUCCAUAAGAUUAUCUGCCAAGAUUAUCAUCUUGGUUUAUCAGUGAUAUGCAAAACCUGUAAUAUAUGCCCACCCACUUAUAACUAAUUUGAAAUUUCCGAGCUAUACACCAAAUGCAUCCCAGAAGAAUGGGAUCACCAUUGGAGGGCCGGGCUCCCUGCUAUAGUUGGCACCUGAAUGUGAAAAAAAUCAGUUGCCCAAGCUUCCAGAAUUCACAGUGGAGCAGAAUAAGAGAAAAUCCUUUCAGAAUAUGUAUUUUAAAGGUAGGUAGAGGGAAAGCCUAACCUGAAACUAUAGGUUAUCAGUUUUUUUGCAUUCACAAACAACCUAGUAUGGUCAAAACACCUUGGGUUGUAUCUAAUUGAGUGCUGCUCCGAGCAGACCCACUGAAAUUAAUGGACAUAAAUUAGUGAUGUUUAUUAAUUUUGAUGGUUUUCCUUUGAAUAUACAGUAACUAAUGUUGGAUACAACCCUUUAUUCACUCAACCAAUUCUUGGUCAAAUGUGAUGCAAAGUUAUUAGGCUACUGCAAAAGAGAGGACUUUCCCCCUUUUGGGGUGGGGAGCUUUAGAAGAAUGCUGCAUACUUCUUUGGUUUGGUUUGGUUUAGUUUAGUCACUCAAGUGGUACUGUUCCCCUCCUGCCACUCCCAUUCUUUAAAUCUCUGAAAAGAUUGGAGGAAUAACCACCUCCAAGACUAACCAAUCUGGUAAUCUGUUGCUUGUCUUUGAGAGGCGCAUGGAGGGGACUAAGAUCACACAUGCAUUUGCCAGUGUUGACAGACGAGCAAGCCGCUUCCCCAACCUAGUAUGUGAUGCCAGAGUGCUGCAUUAGUGCCAGGGGAAGGCUAAGCCUCCUCUGCCCAAAUGAGGUGGAGGAAGCACUAGUCUUGAUACCCAGAUAGGGACUUCAGUUUGGAAAUUGUGAGCUUGGGAGCAGGGCAACCCUAAGCUCUGAGUAGAAGCCCUUGCUUAUAGUAGCAGCUUAGGCAGGCAGUGGGACAGAGGCACCCUCUAGAAGGAGGGAAUCCUUGUCUUGAGGGGCUUUCCUAUGAAGUAGUGACUUGCUUAUCACCUGCCCACAUCACCCCAGUUAUGUUUCAUCCUCAGGUGCAAAGCCAUGCUGAUGUGGAGACCAGUAUAUUGAAAGGCAGUCCUGGUGGUUUUAAGAAAACUCCAAGCAGGGGAAAUAAGAACCCCUUCACUUGAAAAUCUGGAUCAUUUUUACAGUAUGUUGCAUGCUUAAGAGAUCAUUU